rnacentral:rRNA from 1 species
CCCAGACUCCUACGGGAGGCAGCAGUGGGGAAUAUUGCACAAUGGGGGAAACCCUGAUGCAGCGACGCCGCGUGAACGAAGAAGUACCUCGGUAUGUAAAGCUCUAUCAGCAGGGAAGAAGAUGACGGUACCUGACCAAGAAGCUCCGGCUAAAUACGUGCCAGCAGCCGCGGUAAUACGUAUGGAGCAAGCGUUAUCCGGAUUUACUGGGUGUAAAGGGAGCGCAGACGGCAGUGCAAGUCUGGAGUGAAAGCCCGUGGCUUAACUACGGGACUGCUCUGGAAACUGUGCAGCUAGAGUGCAGGAGAGGCAGGCGGAAUUCCUAGUGUAGCGGUGAAAUGCGUAGAUAUUAGGAGGAACACCGGUGGCGAAGGCGGCCUGCUGGACUGUAACUGACGUUGAGGCUCGAAAGCGUGGGGAGCAAACAGGAUUAGAUACCCGG